rnacentral:rRNA from 1 species
AUUGAACGCUGGCGGCAUGCCUUACACAUGCAAGUCGAACGGUAACAGGUCUUCGGAUGCUGACGAGUGGCGAACGGGUGAGUAAUACAUCGGAACGUGCCCGAUCGUGGGGGAUAACGCAGCGAAAGCUGUGCUAAUACCGCAUACGAUCUACGGAUGAAAGCAGGGGACCGCAAGGCCUUGCGCGGACGGAGCGGCCGAUGGCAGAUUAGGUAGUUGGUGGGAUAAAAGCUUACCAAGCCGACGAUCUGUAGCUGGUCUGAGAGGACGACCAGCCACACUGGGACUGAGACACGGCCCAGACUCCUACGGGAGGCAGCAGUGGGGAAUUUUGGACAAUGGGGGAAACCCUGAUCCAGCCAUGCCGCGUGCAGGAUGAAGGCCUUCGGGUUGUAAACUGCUUUUGUACGGAACGAAAAGAUCUCUUCUAAUAAAGGGGGUUCAUGACGGUA